UGGGGAAUAUUGGGCAAUGGGCGCAAGCCUGACCCAGCAACGCCGCGUGAAGGAAGAAGGCUUUCGGGUUGUAAACUUCUUUUAAGAGGGAAGAGCAGAAGACGGUACCUCUUGAAUAAGCCACGGCUAACUACGUGCCAGCAGCCGCGGUAAUACGUAGGUGGCAAGCGUUGUCCGGAUUUACUGGGUGUAAAGGGCGUGCAGCCGGGAAGACAAGUCAGAUGUGAAAUCCCGCGGCUCAACCGCGGAACUGCAUUUGAAACUGUUUUUCUUGAGUACCGGAGAGGUCAUCGGAAUUCCUUGUGUAGCGGUGAAAUGCGUAGAUAUAAGGAAGAACACCAGUGGCGAAGGCGGAUGACUGGACGGCAACUGACGGUGAGGCGCGAAAGCGUGGGGAGCAAACAGGAUUAGAUACC
rnacentral:rRNA from 1 species